rnacentral:rRNA from 1 species
AACGAACGCUGGCGGCAUGCCUAACACAUGCAAGUCGAACGAGACCUUCGGGUCUAGUGGCGCACGGGUGCGUAACGCGUGGGAACCUGCCCUUAGGUUCGGAAUAACUCCCCGAAAGGGGUGCUAAUACCGGAUAAUGUCUUCGGACCAAAGAUUUAUCGCCUUUGGAUGGGCCCGCGUUGGAUUAGCUAGUUGGUAGUGUAAAAGCCUACCACGGCGACGAUCCAUAGCUGGUCUGAGAGGAUGAGCAGCCACACUGGGACUGAGACACGGCCCAGACUCCUACGGGAGGCAGCAGUGGGGAAUAUUGGACAAUGGGCGAAAGCCUGAUGCAGCAAGGCCGGGUGAGUGAUGUAGGCCGUAGGGUAGUAAAGCUCUUUUACCCGGGAUGAUAAUGACGGUACCGGGAGAAUAAGCACCGGCUAACUCCGUG